rnacentral:rRNA from 1 species
CAGGCCUAACACAUGCAAGUCGAGGGGCAGCAUGGGAUUAGCUUGCUAAUCCUGAUGGCGACCGGCGCACGGGUGAGUAACGCGUAUCCAACCUUCCCCCUGCUCAGGGAUAGCCCGGUGAAAACCGGAUUAAUACCUGAUGGUUUCAUUUGACGGCAUCAGAUGAUGAAUAAAGAAAUUCGGCAAGGGAUGGGGAUGCGUCUGAUUAGCUUGUUGGCGGGGUAACGGCCCACCAAGGCGACGAUCAGUAGGGGUUCUGAGAGGAAGGUCCCCCACAUUGGAACUGAGACACGGUCCAAACUCCUACGGGAGGCAGCAGUGAGGAAUAUUGGUCAAUGGGCGAGAGCCUGAACCAGCCAAGUAGCGUGCAGGAAGACGGCCCUAUGGGUUGUAAACUGCUUUUGUGCGGGAAUAAAGUCAGGGACGUGUCCCUGUUUGCAUGUACCGCAAGAAUAAGGACCGGCUAAUUCCGUGCCAGCAGCCGCGGUAAUACGGAAGGUCCGGGCGUUAUCCGGAUUUAUUGGGUUUAAAGGGAGCGUAGGCCGUCGUUUAAGCGUGUUGUGAAAUGUAGGCGCCCAACGUCUGCACUGCAGCGCGAACUGGAUGACUUGAGUACGCGGGAAGCAGGCGGAAUUCGUCGUGUAGCGGUGAAAUGCUUAGAUAUGACGAAGAACUCCGAUUGCGAAGGCAGCCUGCUGUAGCGCCACUGACGCUGAUGCUCGAAAGCGUGGGUAUCAAACAGGAUUAGAUACCCUGGUAGUCCACGCAGUAAACGAUGAUGGCUAACCGCUGGCUCUUUCGGGUCAGUGGCCAAGCGAAAGCGAUAAGCCAUCCACCUGGGGAGUACGACCGCAAGGUUGAAACUCAAAGGAAUUGACGGGGGCCCGCACAAGCGGAGGAACAUGUGGUUUAAUUCGAAGCAACGCGAAGAACCUUACCAGGGCUUGACAUCCUCUGACCGUCCUAGAGAUAGGAUUUCCCUUCGGGGCAGAGAGACAGGUGGUGCAUGGUUGUCGUCAGCUCGUGUCGUGAGAUGUUGGGUUAAGUCCCGCAACGAGCGCAACCCCUAUUGCCAGUUGCCAUCAUUUAGUUGGGAACUCUGGCGAGACUGCCGUGGACAACACGGAGGAAGGUGGGGACGACGUCAAAUCAUCAUGCCCCUUAUGUCCUGGGCUACACACGUAAUACAAUGGUAACGACAGAGGGCAGCGAACCCGCGAGGGUCAGCGAAUCCCUAAACGUUAUCCCAGUUCGGACUGCAGGCUGCAACCCGCCUGCACGAAGUCGGAAUUGCUAGUAAUGGCAGGUCAGCAUACUGCCGUGAAUACGUUCCCGG